rnacentral:rRNA from 1 species
AUGAGGAUGGGGCGGAGGCGACCGCGGCUGCGCGGGUUGAUGAACGCGAUGAGGGGAUUCUCGGGGGUGUCGUUGGGAGCAAGGGAGGACAAGGGGUUCGUCAAGCGCCCCCUCCCAUGGCUUCCUCCAGCGCGAAGGCGCCUGCCGAUAGGUCCCUUACCAUCAGCGCAAUGUGCAGAACGACGCAAGGGUAAUGUGACAGUGCAGCUCCCGAACGAGAGGGACUCAAUCAGAGCACCAACUAGCGGUGGCGGCACGACCGCCGGUGAUGAGCGCGGCGAGCGGGUCAUCACCGGCGGUCUUCGUGUUGGAGGAAGCCCCGGGGCAAGCAUCACGACCAACCCCAGGUUUGCACUCGCGCCCGACGUAGCCCCCGAGAAGACCAUCGUCACGUUCGCCAACCCGCACAACGGCAGCCGCCUCAACCCCGUCCUCAAGUCCCGCCUACAGGAGCUCAUUGGCAAAGACCAGGUCAUGGUCGUGCUCAGAGAUGACCGUAUCAUUGUCGGCGUCCCCGUUGCUGGCGGAGAGGGAGGCACCGUGAUCAUCGUGCUCACUGGCGGCUGUGCCGCCGCCGUUGCAUGCGGAGGGAGGAUAGAGAGGGAGUCACAGAUGACCGUUAGGCGACAGGGAGGCGAUCCGGGGCGAUCUCCGCGCCCGACGGCGGAGCCACCGCCCGAUGCCGGCGAUCGCCGCCGGGUGGGCGGUCGCUUCUGGGCCCUCGCCGGAUCUGACGAUGAUGAUGCGGACGAGGAUGGAGCGGAGCCGCCGGGGGAGUCACCGCCGUCUCCUACGCCGUCGGACCUAAUCUGUGAAUUCUUUCAUUCAGGUUACUCGGAAGAGGAAGUAGCGACCACGGUGGACAAGGUGGUUCCCAGAGACGAUCUGGCUCGUGAGGGGCUGCACGAUGGAGAGAAGAUCGAGAUUGUUCGCCGGAUCGUGCAUAGAAAGACGGCGCCGUCGGCGCUUCGUCCAUGGAAGGGACCUUUACCCAAGGCCACGGCGACCGAGAUUCGAUCGACGAGGGCGACCGCGUUCGCUCAGCUGCUUGGUGCGGCCGGGCUGGAUCGGGAGCCUUCGGGCCUCGUUGCCAAUGGGCCGGACAAUAAUGGGUAUGAGGCCCAUUAUGUCUAUCAAGGCCGGUCCGUUGAGUGUUUUCUGCCAUGCACGUCCGAUCCUUCGAUCGUCCCAGCGCAGUCGGUACGUGCCGCUAGGGUUCAUCGCCAGGGGAGUCGUGGUUUCCCGCAGUGUGGAUCGGGCAGGGCGAGGAGGAUCCCGCCGCUGCUAAUGGCUGGACGUGGAGCGGGACCCCCUCCUGCUGCGAGCCGGUCCGGUGAGUGUUUUCUGCCAUGCACGUCCGAUCCUUCGAUCGUCCCAGCGCAGUCGGUACGUGCCGCUAGGGUUCAUCGCCAGGGGAGCCGCGGUGUGGAUGACCCCCUCCUGCUGCGAGUACCGCGGGGGGGGGGGGCUGGAAGGGCUCGACCGCCGCUGCCCCAUGCGUCGGGACGGGGCGCACCGCCGGCCGGACAGCAGCCGCCGGCACUUGCGCCGGAUGCUGCAGGUCGUGGAGGCGCUCUCCAGCCGCGGCAGCAGCUGGGCUCUCCGGGAGUUCGGGCUCCUGAGGCGCAGCCAACGACGGCUGGCCGGGCAGCGCAUAGACCCCCGGUGCCAUCUCAUGCUGCUGGGGUCGGCCGGGGAGGCCCUCGCCCUCCGCCGCCGGCGGCGCCGGCUCCUGGGUCGAUGACGACUGGUAUGGUUAAUACUGGCCGUGGAGCUCCUCGCCCUGCACCGCCGGUGGUGCCGGCUCGUAACGCGUCGGCGGCGGGGAUGGCUGCUCUGAGGGCCGAGACGUCGGGGGCCACGGUGGCUGCCGGUGUCGCUGCUGAUCCGGUGGCGGCAACUACCGGGGGUCAGCGUGCACCCCCGCCACACCUUGCGGUUCGUCAGGCGCAGAAUCGUUCGGGGCAGAAUCAGGUUCAGAGUAAUCAGAGUAAUACCAGUGGGAGACCGACUGAUGCACCUCGAGGCAAGUGGGGUGAUGACGGGUUUGAUGCGUAUGGAGUAGGCCAGCAUCGGGGCUCAUCUUCAGCGGGAGGAGGUCGGGAUGAACAGCUCAACGGCGGACACUGCAAGGUGGGAUGGAAAACGGUGUGCACACCAUCUGAUCGUGGGGGUCUGGGAGUGCUUGAUCUCAACAAGUUCUCCAGGGCCCUGCGCCUGAGAUGGUUGUGGCUGUCCUGGCAAAAUGAUGAUCGCCCAUGGAAAGUAAGAAACAGAGAGAACCAGCUAACUAGACGAACAGCUCAGUAUCGCGUCCCUCGCGUCGCCCCCGCCCUGGGCGACUCGGGGGCCUCCAACCCUAGGCACAGCCGCCGCCCCCUCCUUCUCCCUUCCUCGCGCCGCCGCCGGGUGACGCCGCCGGGUGAAACCCGCGUAGCAGACGGCGGCGGCGGGGGGAUUCCCUCUCCCGACUCCCCUUCUUCCGCGGGCGGCGGAUCUAGGCGGCAGGCGGCGGUGUCCUGCGGCGGCAGGCCUCGGCGAGCGCUCAGGAAACUACAGUGCAAGCUCUGCUCCAAUGCCCAAUUCGAUGAUAUGGCAAGGAAUGAUUACAAGAUAUUGAUCUGGAAAACUCGGGCCCCCGGCAAGAUAAAAUUCUCCUUCUGGCUUCUGCUUCAGAACCGGCUCUGGUGCAGCGAUAGGUUACAGCGUCGAGGUUGGGAAAAUGAUUACUUCUGUCCACUAUGUAUGAGAAACCUCGAAUCCUCCCUUCAUCUGUUCUGGGAGUGUCCGCUGUCCAAGGAAAUUUGGCACCGUACUUCUCUCUGGUCGGGCUGUGACAAGCUCACUCUCCUAACUGAAGACAGCAGCACCACCUCGGAACAGCGAGUUCGUAACCUGCUCCAACAAGCAGGACCAAAGCUCAGGGCAAAGCUGAAAAGGAGGAACAUCUUCCUGAUUACAUGGCACAUCUGGAAAGGGAGGAACGAUCAUACUUUCAGACAGACAAGCAACCGGAGCGAAAUGCCUCAAGACGUCGUUGGGAGAUCCAGGCUAGCUAGACAGGGCUCUAUCUGUGUUCAUGGGCAUCUCGAUCUCGGCUCGGAUCGCUGCACGGAGUACACCUUGUCUUGUCUGCACUGUGCACUGCUCGCUCCAUGUGUGCACCCUGAAUCCCUGACCCGGCCAUGCAUCUCCUUCUAUACCUCUGCACGUUAUUCAGACUAUCAAACAAACGGUGAAAUCCACCCAGUACAAAACAACAACAUUCAUUUCUCCUUCUCCUUAAAGGAAAAACAUGAACACUUAAAAACUCCUGCAUGCAGCAGCAAUAGCAACAGCACGUUCUCUUCUGAACCAUGCUCCAUCAAUGUCGACGAUGUGCUGCACUGUCUACUGCAUUGCACAUUUGCGCUGUCUGUGUUUAAUCUGGCCAGCAGUAUUGCUGUACGUGGUGGAAGGCUGGCGGCUGGGCGGCGCGCAGCUCGUGGUGACCACGUCCGCGGGCAGGCUGUGCCGUGCCGGUCCCGGCUCCGGGGACUGGACGUCCAACCGAUGCACGCAAGGCAAGGACUACCGACGACCAAUGUGCAUGCAUGUCCAUGGCCCAAGGCAAAGCAGGGCAGCGCCAUUUAUUAUCCCUGUGCGUAUUUAUGCCCAUGUGUGCACGGCCAGGGCAAGCCUCAGGCCGAUUUAAUGAGGGGAGGAGGGAUCGAUAUCGAUCGAGGGUACAGUACCGCCCCUGUGCAGUGCAUUGCCCUCGCCACGCAUGCAUCUUUGCACGUGCUCCUACCUGUGCUGGGUUUGUCAAGCCGGCAUCCGAGAUUAGCGUUGGCUUGGAUUAGUGUCAGGUUGGCACGAGGUGUGUGUGCCGGUAACAAUAAUGCGCCGGCAGGAACGGCACUGAUCCUAGCCACCGGCCUGCGGCGAUCAUUUGGGCGGUCGUGGGAGGGGUGGCGAUCCACGCAGGGUGGUGUGUGUGUGACUGUGUGCCCGUCUGAAGAGAGCAGGCGCAGCUGCCAAAGCGUGAAAAGGGAGAAUCUGAAUCCGGGUGAUUGGCUUUCCUUUGACCCGGCGUCAUGUCCUGUGCCUGUCGGAUUGGAUCGCCUCCGAGGCCGGUCGGCUAACUGCACCGGAGGACGACUUGUACGCAUCUUCGUCCUCGCCGUCUGGCACGGGCUGUGCCGCCUCAGGCUGGGCCGCCGCUGCCUGGGCCUGGCGUGCCUCCUCCUCCACCUCACGUUGCUCCUCCUCGGCGUCGUGCUCGAGCUGCUCGAGGUACUCACCGUCGCGGCGCUCCUAGGCCAGCCGCCACUGGCGCCAUUGCUCGAGGUACGCCGCCUCCGUCGCCCCGAGCUAGAUCGGCGGUGCGCUCACCCACUCGCGCACUACUCCGGUCCAGGAGUAGCGCUCGACGGGGGUUGGCUCCGGCUCAGCCUUGACUGGGGACGGGGUGGCACUGGCACGUUCACGCGCUGCCUCGGCCGACGAGAAGGCGUCGGCGGAGGCUCAACCCGGCAAUUCGACCCAUGGGUUUACGCGCCCAUGGGCACCCGACCCGAAUGGGUAGGGUAUGGGUCUCCGACUCUGCCCAUGGGUUUAGCCAUGGGUAACCCGAUUAGUCAUGGGUAG